CCAGACUCCUACGGGAGGCAGCAGUGGGGGAUAUUGCACAAUGGAGGAAACUCUGAUGCAGCGACGCCGCGUGAGGGAAGACGGUCUUCGGAUUGUAAACCUCUGUCUUUGGGGAAGAAAAUGACGGUACCCAAAGAGGAAGCUCCGGCUAACUACGUGCCAGCAGCCGCGGUAAUACGUAGGUGGCAAGCGUUAUCCGGAUUUAUUGGGUGUAAAGGGCGUGUAGGCGGGAAAGCAAGUCAGAUGUGAAAACUCAGGGCUCAACCCUGAGCCUGCAUUUGAAACUGUAGGUCUUGAGUAUCGGAGAGGCAGGCGGAAUUCCUAGUGUAGCGGUGAAAUGCGUAGAUAUUAGGAGGAACACCAGUGGCGAAGACGGCCUGCUGGACGACAACUGACGGUGAGGCGCGAAAGCGUGGGGAGCAAACAGGAUUAGAUACCCCGGUACC
rnacentral:rRNA from 1 species